rnacentral:rRNA from 1 species
CCCUUAGAUGUUCUGGGCCGCACGCGCGCUACACUGAUGCAUUCAACAAGCCUAGCCUUGACCGAGAGGUCCGGGUAAUCUUUGAAACUGCAUCGUGAUGGGGCUAGAUUAUUGCAAUUAUUAAUCUUCAACGAGGAAUGCCUAGUAAGCGUGAUUCAUCAAAUCGCGUUGAUUACGUCCCUGCCCUUUGUACACACCGCCCGUCGCUCCUACCGAUUGAAUGUGUUGGUGAGGAGCUCGGAUUGGCAGCAGUUGGUGGUUCGCCACCGGCUAUUGCUGAGAAGUCCUCCAAACCGCCCCAUUUAGAGGAAGGGGAAGUCGUAACA